GCUCCCCAAGAUGGACCAGUUACAAAGUUGUUAUGCUUUGAAAAGCUGCAGUACUAGUACUCAAUUUCUGAAGAUGAUGAGCCUCCCAAGUCAUAUGUAAUGCAACGAAGUUAGUUUUUGUUGUUCUGUGUACUAUGGUUAAUUUCUUGUACUCCAUGUUGGAUUAUCCAAAGACUAGUAUUUGUUUUUUGGCACAUUUGUGUUGACUCUUCUUGUAUGCUACAACUUGGUUAUGUAUCAGUUUGAACGUUUAAAUGAAAUAUUUGCUUUUAUGGUUGUCACAA